AUUAAUAAUAAAAUUUUCCUUCAUUUCCCAUCCAGCUUAUCCCUUCUUUCAGAGUCCUGAACGUAGAGUAGUUGAACCAUCCAGAUCACCGUAAUUCUUUACAUUACAAGAACUUUUAUUUGGCAAAAACCCGAUCAAUUCUUCAACUACGAAAAGAAGACAAGAAACGACCAGGAACCCUCAAGAAUCCAACUCCUGGAACAAGAAACUACUCGAGAUUUGGCUAUGGAAUUCCAGUCUCCAGAGGAUAAUGCAUGGUACGACGUGAUUCUUUUAUGGGAUAAUGAAAUGCUCACUGUAAAGUACGUUAAUUUCCCAGAAGAUUUUAAUGAAAUAUAUGAUGUUGGGAAGUUCAAGACCUUGGAAGAAUUGGAAGAUUUCAAGCAGAGGUUUAGGCAAAGCAGUGUCCAAUUACAAGACCAUGAUUGCAAAAAGGUUGUUCUGGGUAAGACAUUUUGUGCAUCAUAUAAUUUUGAGAAUGGUGAUGUUAAGUUUUUUGAUGCUCUUGUUGCUGAAGUACUGAACAAGAAACAUAAGUUUAAGCAAGGAGGAGGAGAAGAGUGCCUCUGCACUUAUGUGGUUAGAUGGCAAAAUGGUCCAUUAGAGGGAGAAAGGACAUUUGCCAGGAUUGCUAAUUUUUGCCUUACCCCACCUAGUAACCAAGUUGAUCCAUCACUGGCCUCUUUCUUGAAGCUUGCAAGAGAGAGAAUUGAGAAGGGUUCUCUAGGGGGUAAGGAUGCAGGACAUGAAGAACCCAUUACCUCUGGUUUUGUAAGCAAUUCAGUUAUGAAUCUUGAGCUAUUUUUUAUGAAAUUAAGGAGACAGAGAAAGAACAGGUGUGCAUACCGAACAAUAGAGGGAGCGCUUCAUGGUCGUUGUAAGAAGAUUUAAGAAGUCAUAGACUAGGAUGAUGCAUCUGCUGCGUCUUGAUGAAUAUGGGAGCACAGAAACAGAGAGAGUAGAGAUUAG
rnacentral:misc_RNA from 1 species